rnacentral:rRNA from 1 species
CCUACGGGUGGCAGCAGUGAGGAAUAUUGGUCAAUGGACGAGAGUCUGAACCAGCCAAGUAGCGUGAAGGAUGACUGCCCUAUGGGUUGUAAACUUCUUUUAUAUGGGAAUAAAAUGUUCCACGUGUGGGAUUUUGUAUGUACCAUAUGAAUAAGGAUCGGCUAACUCCGUGCCAGCAGCCGCGGUAAUACGGAGGAUCCGAGCGUUAUCCGGAUUUAUUGGGUUUAAAGGGAGCGUAGGUGGAUUGUUAAGUCAGUUGUGAAAGUUUGCGGCUCAACCGUAAAAUUGCAGUUGAAACUGGCAGUCUUGAGUACAGUAGAGGUGGGCGGAAUUCGUGGUGAAGCGGUGAAAUGCUUAGAUAUCACGAAGAACUCCGAGUGCGAAGGCAGUUCACUGGACUGCAACUGACACUGAGGCUCGAAAGUGUGGGUAUCAAACAGGAUUAGAUACCCUGGUAGUC